AAGCUCGUAGUUGAACCUCGGGAUCAAUGGGUCGGUCAUGCCAAUGGUAUGUACUGGCCUCAUUGGUUCUCACCUUCUAAGGAACCAUGAUGUCAUUCAUUUGAUGUUAUGGGGAAUUAGGACUGUUACCUUGAAAAAAUUAGAGUGUUUAAAGCAGGCUAACGCUUGAAUACAUUAGCAUGGAAUAAUGAAAUAGGACAUCGCAUUCUAUUUUGUUGGUUUCUAGGAUCGAUGUAAUGAUUAAUAGGGAUAGUUGGGGGCAUUAGUAUUCAAUUGUCAGAGGUGAAAUUCUUGGAUUUACGGAAGACAAACUUCUGCGAAAGCAUUUGCCAAGGAUGUUUUCAUUAAUCAAGAACGAAGGUUAGGGGAUCGAAAACGAUCAGAUACCGUUGUAGUCUUAACAGUAAACUAUGCCGACUAGGGAUCGGACGACCUCUUUUUUAUGUGUCGUUCGGCACC
rnacentral:rRNA from 1 species